rnacentral:rRNA from 1 species
CCUACGGGUGGCAGCAGUGGGGAAUAUUGGACAAUGGGGGGAACCCUGAUCCAGCCAUGCCGCGUGUGUGAAGAAGGCCCUCGGGUUGUAAAGCACUUUCAGUGAGGAAGAACGCCUGGUGGUUAAUACCCAUCAGGAAAGACAUCACUCACAGAAGAAGCACCGGCUAACUCCGUGCCAGCAGCCGCGGUAAUACGGAGGGUGCGAGCGUUAAUCGGAAUUACUGGGCGUAAAGCGCGCGUAGGUGGCUUGAUAAGCCGGUUGUGAAAGCCCCGGGCUCAACCUGGGAACGGCAUCCGGAACUGUCAAGCUAGAGUGCAGGAGAGGAAGGUAGAAUUCCCGGUGUAGCGGUGAAAUGCGUAGAGAUCGGGAGGAAUACCAGUGGCGAAGGCGGCCUUCUGGACUAACACUGACACUGAGGUGCGAAAGCGUGGGUAGCAAACAGGAUUAGAUACCCCUGUAGUC